UUGCUCUCAGUAGGGCCUGGCAGUAGGUGGGUGUAAUUCGUUAAGUGCAAUUGAAUGGGCAUAAUUGAUGUGCAAAAGAGGUCAAGAUGUCAACCAAGAGAAAGGAGGACAAGGCAGAGGAAGCACAUGCAGAAGCCAAGGCUGCUAGCUCAACACAGGACCAAGGGGCUGCGCUGGAGGACCCAAAGGACACCAUUGCAGAAUUGGCAGGGAUGGUCAAGAUCCUUCUUCAGUCCCAAGCAGCAAAGUAUAAGUGAAUGGAGAAGGAGGCCCCCUGUCAGGACCAGAGGUGGGGCAGCAUGCAGAAAGGGCAGCAGCAGCAACAGAUGCAGCCGCAGCAGGAGGGUAGCAAUGACGCCAGUGAAGCAGAGGAACCUUCCAGACCACCUGCUAGGUUUCUGAGGGAGCCACCAAACCUAAAACUACCCAAUCUUCAUCCUCUGACCCCAGACGAUGACAUUGAACAUUUUUUAACCACAUUUGAAAGAAUAGCUACCGUGGGCCGCUGGAACCGGGAAGACUGGACUAUUCAUUUAGUUCCCCUUUUAACCGGCGAGGCACGGAGUGCUUAUGUGGCAAUGGAAAUUGAGCACAGCAAUGACUACCACAAGGUCAAGGAGUCUAUCUUGACCAAAUAUGAAAUCACGGCCAACACCUACCACCAAUGGUUUAGUUCCCUGGACAUUCAACGGUGGUGAAACCCCACAAGAACUGUAUGUAAGCCUCAAGGAUUUUUUUUCCAAAUGGACUAAGGUGAAACAAACCACCAUGAAGAAGCUUGCUGAGACUAUGAUCCUGGAACAGUUUCUAUGGAUGGUCAAUCCAGGAAUGGAAGUUUGGAUCAAGGAACCUGAUCCCAUGACCACUGAGGAAGCCGCACGUGUGGCUAAAGGCUUCGUCUCGGCCAGGAAGGGAAUCGGGAGCGCAGUCUUCCACAGAGACAACAGCUACUCAUCCAAGCUUGAAAGAAGCCCUGCAAAGUCAGGUGACCUCUCAGGAAACAGAAGCUCGCACCCAUCAGAGAGCUGACGUUAUGACAUGGAGGAGGAAAGGAGCAGCAUCACCACACAAUGAAUCUUCAAACCUCUUUGGUCUGAUGGUGCUGCAAGACUUGCUGGCACCUUCUACAAGCAGUACAGGAUUUUCCAUCAUGCCAUUUAUUAAAAUUCAUUCAUUUGUGUUAAUCAUCCAUAAUGGUAAUAACUAGCCAUAAUUAAACUGAAUAAAAAUCUG